rnacentral:rRNA from 1 species
AACGUACCCUCUAGCCAUCAACGCGUACGGGUGUUGGGAGACAUAGCCCGGAGAUGGAUUCUGAGACACGAAUCCAGACCCUACGGGGUGCAGCAGGCGCGAAAACUUGGCAAUGCGAGCAAUCGUGACCAGGGAACUCCAAGUGGCUGGGGUAAUACCCAGUUUUUUCUUGACUCUUCAAAGGUCUUGGAAUAAGGGGUGGGUAAGGACGGUGCCAGCCGCCGCGGUAAUACCGGCGCCUCAAGUGGUAGUCGCUUUUAUUGGGCCUAAAACGUCCGUAGCCGGUCUGGUGCAUUCGUGGGUAAAUCAACCCGCUCAACGGGUUGAAUUCUGCGAGCACGGCCAGACUUGGGACCGGGAGAGGUGUGGGGUACUCUCAGGGUAGGGGUAAAAUCCUGUCAUCCUGAGAGGACCACCUGUUGCGAAGGCGCCACACUAGAACGGAUUCGACGGUCAGGGACGAAACCUAGGGGCACGAACCGGAUUAGAUACCCGGGUAGUCCUAGGUGUAAACGCUGUGGACUUGAUGUUGGGGGUGCUCCGAGCACUCUCAGUGUCGAAGCGAAGGUGAUAAGUCCACUGCCUGGGGAGUACGGUCGCAAGGCUGAAACUUAAAGAAAUUGGCGGGGGAGCACUGCAACCUGAGGAUUGUGCGGUUUAAUUGGACUCAACGCCGGGA